rnacentral:lncRNA from 1 species
UCACACUUUGGCCUCUUUUUCUCCGGCAAGGGACCGGGCAUCCAGCCACGCUGCAACGCGUCAAUCUCGAAGGGCGCUCGCCCUUGCGCGCUUGGCUGGCCACCGAGAGACAGCGCUGUGCCGUGGAUUAGAAUCGGGGCGCAGAGCCAAGCAACGACCCCCAGGUUUAGAGUUUUUAUUACCUAUAAAAAAAUGCAUCAGUGCUCCGAUUCUUCGGCAACUACCAAGGGCUAGGCCUCUAUAUUCCACCAAUAAUGCACAAGCUUCACCGCAGGGGUACAAGGAUGCUGAAAUAUAUAUUAUCCCUAAAGCCAACACCCUAUGUUUCAAAGGCUAGGACUAGGCUCUGAUCAUCUAGAGCUCUAUCUUCUUAUUUUGAGAUUUAUG